GAUGAACGCUGGCGGCGUGCCUAAUACAUGCAAGUCGAGCGAACAGAUGAGGAGCUUGCUCCUCUGACGUUAGCGGCGGACGGGUGAGUAACACGUGGAUAACCUACCUAUAAGACUGGGAUAAAUUCGGGAAACCGGAGCUAAUACCGGAUAAUAUAUUGAACCGCAUGGUUCAAUAGUGAAAGACGGUUUUGCUGUCACUUAUAGAUGGAUCCGCGCCGCAUUAGCUAGUUGGUAAGGUAACGGCUUACCAAGGCAACGAUGCGUAGCCGACCUGAGAGGGUGAUCGGCCACACUGGAACUGAGACACGGUCCAGACUCCUACGGGAGGCAGCAGUAGGGAAUCUUCCGCAAUGGGCGAAAGCUUGACGGAGCAACGCCGCGUGAGUGAUGAAGGUCUUCGGAUCGUAAAACUCUGUUAUUAGGGAAGAACAAAUGUGUAAGUAACUAUGCACGUCUUGACGGUACCUAAUCAGAAAGCCACGGCUAACUACGUG
rnacentral:rRNA from 1 species